rnacentral:rRNA from 1 species
UACGUAGGGGGCAAGCGUUUGUCCGGAAUUAUUGGGCGUAAAGAGCGUGUAGGCGGUCUGGUAAGUCAGCUGUGAAAGUCAAGGGCUCAACCCUUGAAUGCCGGUUGAUACUGUCGGGCUAGAGUCCGGAAGAGGCGAGUGGAAUUCCCGGUGUAGCGGUGAAAUGCGCAGAUAUCAGGAGGAACACCGGUGGCGAAGGCGGUUCUCUGGGCCGAUACUGACGCUGAGGAGCGAAAGCGUGGGAGCGAACAGG